rnacentral:piRNA from 1 species
UGAGCAGGAAGGGUUUUUACUCGUUGUG